AAUUGUGUCAAUGGAUUUGAGAAGGCAACACACUGGAGAUCUGGAUCUGCACUGAACCUUGAUUUUUAGAUCUUGUUAAUUGUAUUAUUUGAGAGAUUAUCUAUUGAUUUAUUUUGGAAGAGGGAUUUAAAUGCUGUUAAACAAUAAGCAUGCAUGUACUGUUCAAACUUCAAAGUAUAUCUUCUUCUUUGUUGCUUAAAUUAAUCCACAAGAAACCCAGACAGUCAAAUUUGAUUAGCCAAAAACAAAAUUACAAUAGUCAAUGGCCUGUUAGCAAGUGGAAUUAUGGCACUCAGCUCUCCUAUAAAAGAUGGCAGCUGCAAUGUUUCAGAUACCACAGCUUCUCAAGAAAUGGCACAACUCAAGAACAAACUUGAAGACAAGGUGGCAAUAGUCACGGGUGGCGCCAGCGGCAUUGGUGAAGCCACCGCGCGCCACUUUGCAUUGUAUGGUGCACGCGCGGUGGUUAUCGCCGACGUCCAGGACCAGAAAGGUAAUGACGUCGCCGCUUCGAUAGGUCCUCACUGCACCUACGUCCGCUGCGACGUUACAGACGAGGAUCAAGUGAAGAGCCUGGUCGACUCAACUGUCCAGAUGCACGGCCGCCUGGACAUCAUGUUCAGCAACGCCGGAGUAUUCAGCUCGUCCGAGCAGACCGUGCUGGAGUUUGACUUAUCCAACUACGAGAAGCUCAUGGCGGUCAACGUACGUGGGAUGGCGGCGUGUCUGAAGCACGGGGCGAGGGCCAUGGUGGAAGGUAGAGUUAAGGGGAGCGUGAUAUGCACCGCGAGCGUUGCGGCCAAUACCGGAUUAGAGUAGUUCACAGAGUACAGCAUGUCGAAACACGCCAUUCUGGGUCUGAUCAGGUCGGCAAGUAUCCAGCUCGGCACGUAUGGGAUACGCGUUAACUGCGUCUCGCCGGGACCUGUUCAUACGCCACUCCUGAACUCGUUCCUUGCCUUCAACGCUGUGGAGAUAACCAAGUUAUCGGCGGCGUCAGGUGAUCGGCAUGAGAUUAUGUCGCCAGAUAAUGUGGCUAACGCAGUCGUGUUCUUGGCUUCUGACGAUUCUCAGUUUGUAUCCGGUCACAAUCUCGUCGUCGAGGGUGGGCUGAAAGCUUGAUAUGAAUCCCAAAUGAAUUGAACGAUU